ACAGACAAUUUACCAAACAAGAUACACAGGUAACAAACGAGCACAUGAAAAGCUGCUCAGCAUCCUUAGUCAUGAAACUCUCAGAAGGCGCCAGGACACGCCUCUCAUGAUGGCUAAAAUGAAAAAAGAUUGACCUUACCAGCUGAGUACAAGGAUGCAGAGCAAAUGGGACUCUCAUGCAUGACUGCUGAGAAUGUAAAAUGAUACAACCACUUUGGAAACUAGUUUGGCACUUUGUUGAAAAGUUAAGCAAUACUACCCUAUGAUCUAGCCAUUGCAUUCCUGGAUAUUUACCCAGGAGAAACGGAAGCAUGUGUUCCUACUGAGACAAACACCAUGUCCAUCAACAGACUGAAUUCCUGAGGGUGGAGAGGAUGUGUCUUGUUUCCACUGCCAGCACCGUCUGGUCCAACCGGCAAGAAGUGGUUGCUGAUUUUGGCAGACUCCUUGCUCUCCUUCCUUCUUUGCCCAGGUCUUGGGUGCUGACCUUAUCAAAGGGCAGCCUGGGGUUAUUCUUGGCAUAACCAGCACAUAGCUGGUUAUGCACACAGCACAUCGCCCAGUUCCUGGCUUGGAGGGAGAGCGCUCACGUUUGAUGGUUACAACAAUGGAUGGGAACCCAUAGCCAGUGGCUUUGAUGCCUCUGUGCCUGAUGGGAAGCUGAGAAGGAAUUGACAGAGCUCUUCUUUCUUUGGGUCACUAGCGUCCCGCGGCUUCAGCGUUUCUUUGUGCUCAAGCAAGCGCAGUUGCCAGGACCACAGAGGAAGGGGAUGGAGGAAUGGCCUCAGCCAUCUCGGAGGAUGGCACUUGUUGCCCCCAGUGCCAUCUGCCAAAGACCUUUUCAAUUACACCAGACGCAUUGGCUCUAGGCAGCCUCAGCUUCCUGUCACCACGGACUCUGUUUAAGAUCUCAGCUGGACUUGGCUGCGUUGGAGAUUGCAGGGAAUAUGGCUGGUCCACUUGGGUGGCUUUGCACGUGGCCAUCCUGUGUGUAUGCCCUUCUGCCAGCCUGGCGGCCUCUCCCUUCGUCUGCCUUGUCCUUGAAAUGCAUCAGCAGGGGGAGCUGGAUCUGUCCUAAACCUGACGGAAAACAGACGUCCCCGCACGCAGAGGAGCAAGCUGCCUCGCUGGGUUUUUCUGGAAUAGCUCAGAUGGCUGUUAUUUUAUUCAUUGGAAUGGAGAUGAAUUGCUAAAUGUACCAGUUAAAUGUGAUUUAAAUUGUAUAUCGUUGUCAAGUUUUUCACAUAAAUUCACUAAUUAAAAAAAAAAUUCUUUGCACAGA